rnacentral:rRNA from 1 species
GAUGAACGCUGACAGCAUGCUUAACACAUGCAAGUCAACUUGAAUUUGGGUUCUUAACUUAGGUUUGGGUGGCGGACGGGUGAGUAACGCGUAAAGAACUUGCCUCACAGCUAGUGACAACAUUUGGAAACGAAUGCUAAUACCUAAUAUUAUUAUAAUAGGGCAUCCUAUAAUUAUGAAAGCUAUAAGCGCUGUGAGAGAGCUUUGCGUCCCAUUAGCUAGUUGGAGAGGUAACGGAUCACCAAGGCGAUGAUGGGUAGCCGGUCUGAGAGGGUGAUCGGCCACAAGGGGACUGAGACACGGCCCGUACGCCUACGGGAGGCAGCAGUGGGGAAUAGUGGACAAUGGACCGAGAGUCUGAUCCAGCAAUUCUGUGUGCACGAUGAAGUUUUUCGGAAUGUAAAGGGCUUUCAGUUGGGAAGAAACAAAUGACGGUACCAACAGAAGAAGUGACGGCUAAAUACGUG